GGCCGACUUCAUCAGCGACUGGUCGGCGUACUGCGAGGAGGAAUCGCUCCGGUUACACAGAGAGGGAACCGGGAGGACGACGACAGGUACAGGGUGACGAGGCGACCCAGAGAGGACAGACCCAUGGAGCUCACCUGGACCGGACCCAGACCACCAUAUUAGCACCUGAACGGACGUCGUACCAAGGAGCGGCGGCUGGAGGCGACUCACCUGAGUGAAGUGGUUCUGCGACAGGUCCAGCUCCGUCAGCGUAGUGAUGGCUUCCCUUCAUCCUGAACUUAAACCCUCCCAGACUUCCGGACCUCCAGACCUCGGGACAUCCUCGGCGGGAGAAGUCAGCACAUCAAGCCGAUUUUCAGGCUCCGAGCGCC